rnacentral:rRNA from 1 species
GGAAAGCUUACCAGGACAAGACAUGAGAAGGAUUGACAGACUGAUCGCUCUUUCUUGAUUUUAUGGGUGGUGGUGCAUGGCCGUUCUUAGUUCGUGGAGUAAUCUGUCUGGUUAAUUCCGUUAACGAACAAGACCUUAACUUGCUAAUUGGGGUGUAUAUUUAAUAUGCAUUUUCUUUUAGAAGGACGGUGUAUUCAUAGUACAAGGAAGCGUGAGGCAAUAA